rnacentral:siRNA from 1 species
GUAAGUGGCAUAGAUCUAUCACGA